rnacentral:rRNA from 1 species
CAAGUGAUGAUUAUUGGAGGUAGAGCACUGUUUGGACGAGGGGCCCCUCUCGGGUUACCGAAUUCAGACAAACUCCGAAUGCCAAUUAAUUUAACUUGGGAGUCAGAACAUGGGUGAUAAGGUCCGUGUUCGAAAGGGAAACAGCCCAGACCACCAGCUAAGGUCCCAAAAUAUAUGUUAAGUGGAAAAGGAUGUGGCGUUGCCCAGACAACUAGGAUGUUGGCUUAGAAGCAGCCAUCAUUUAAAGAGUGCGUAAUAGCUCACUAGUCGAGUGACACUGCGCCGAAAAUGUACCGGGGCUAAACAUAUUACCGAAGCUGUGGAUUGUCCUUUGGACAAU